rnacentral:hammerhead_ribozyme from 1 species
GCACUGCUGAAGAGUCCCAUGCUAGGGCGAAAUGACCGUCCAGUGC